rnacentral:rRNA from 1 species
GACGAACGCUGGCGGCGUGCCUAAUACAUGCAAGUAGAACGCACUUGCGAAUGAGUGAGUAACGCGUAGGUAACUGCCUGGUAUCAGGGGUUAACUAUUUGAAAAGAUAGCUAAUACCGCAUACUAACAGAUGGACCUUCGUUGUAUUAGCUAGUUGGUGGGGUAACGGCUCACCAAGGCAACGAUACAUAGCCGACCUGAGAGGGUGAUCGGCCACACUGGGACUGAGACACGGCCCAGACUCCUACGGGAGGCAGCAGUAGGGAAUCUUCGGCAAUGGGGGGAACGCUGACCGAGCAACGCCGCGUGAGUGAAGAAGGUUUUCGGAUCGUAAAGCUCUGUUGUUAAGGAAGCGGUACUUAACCAGAAAGGGACGGCUAACUACGUGCCAGCAGCCGCGGUAAUUC